AUACUUCUCUCACCCGGAGGUCCGUGAUCAGGAAGGCGGAUUUCCCUGAGGACAUCUCAAUGAUGCGCUUCAGCGAACUUAUGUCUUUCUACGGGGUGCGAAUUUUUGGUAGCUGGGAUGACCCUUACAAGGUCAUCCCAU
rnacentral:snRNA from 11 species